CGCCGCGUGAGGGAUGACGGCCUUCGGGUUGUAACCUCUUUUAGCAGGAAGAAGCGAGAGUGACGGUACCUGCAGAAAAAGCGCCGGCUAACUACGUGCCAGCAGCCGCGGUAAUACGUAGGGCGCAAGCGUUAUCCGGAAUUAUUGGGCGUAAAGAGCUCGUAGGCGGUUUGUCGCGUCUGCUGUGAAAUCCCGAGGCUCAACCUCGGGCCUGCAGUGGGUACGGGCAGACUAGAGUGCGGUAGGGGAGAUUGGAAUUCCUGGUGUAGCGGUGGAAUGCGCAGAUAUCAGGAGGAACACCGAUGGCGAAGGCAGAUCUCUGGGCCGUAACUGACGCUGAGGAGCGAAAGGGUGGGGAGCAAACAGGCUUAGAUACCCUGGUAGUCCACCCCGUAAACGUUGGGAACUAGUUGUGGGGACCAUUCCACGGUUUCCGUGACGCAGCUAACGCAUUAAGUUCCCCGCCUGGGGAGUACGGCCGCAAGGCUAAAACUCAAAGGAAUUGACGGGGACCCGCACAAGCGGCGGAGCAUGCGGAUUAAUUCGAUGCAACGCGAAGAACCUUACCAAGGCUUGACAUACACCAGAACACCGUAGAAAUACGGGACUCUUUGGACACUGGUGAACAGGUGGUGCAUGGUUGUCGUCAGCUCGUGUCGUGAGAUGUUGGGUUAAGUCCCGCAACGAGCGCAACCCUCGUUCUAUGUUGCCAGCACGUAAUGGUGGGAACUCAUGGGAUACUGCCGGGGUCAACUCGGAGGAAGGUGGGGAUGACGUCAAAUCAUCAUGCCCCUUAUGUCUUGGGCUUCACGCAUGCUACAAUGGCCGGUACAAAGGGCUGCAAUACCGUGAGGUGGAGCGAAUCCCAAAAAGCCGGUCCCAGUUCGGAUUGAGGUCUGCAACUCGACCUCAUGAAGUCGGAGUCGCUAGUAAUCGCAGAUCAGCAACGCUGCGGUGAAUACGUUCCCGGGUCUUGUACACACCGCCCGUCAAGUCAUG
rnacentral:rRNA from 1 species